GACAGAGGUGCCAAGCGUUAGGCGGAAUCACUGGGCUUAAAGCGUGUGUAGGCGGACUUGUGAGUACCUUGUGAAAUCCCACGGCUCAACCGUGGAACUGCUUGGUAUACUGCUUGUCUUGAGCCACUUAGGGGCUACCGGAACAAAUGGUGGAGCGGUGAAAUGCGUAGAUAUCAGGAGGAACACCGGUGGCGAAGGCGGGUCUCUGGGCCGAUACUGACGCUGAGGAGCGAAAGCGUGGGGAGCGAACAGG
rnacentral:rRNA from 1 species